rnacentral:rRNA from 1 species
UGGAGCAUGUGGUUUAAUUCGAAGCAACGCGCAGAACCUUACCAGCGUUUGACAUGUCCGGUUUGGUUUCCAGAGAUGGAUUCCUUCAGUUCGGCUGGCCGGAACACAGGUGCUGCAUGGCUGUCGUCAGCUCGUGUCGUGAGAUGUUGGGUUAAGUCCCGCAACGAGCGCAACCCUCAUCCCUAGUUGCCAUCAUUCAGUUGGGCACUCCAGGGAAACUGCCGGUGAUAAGCCGGAGGAAGGUGUGGAUGACGUCAAGUCCUCAUGGCCCUUACGGGUUGGGCUACACACGUGCUACAAUGGUGGUGACAAUGGGUUAAUCCCAAAAAGCCAUCUCAGUUCGGAUUGGGGUCUGCAACUCGACCCCAUGAAGUCGGAAUCGCUAGUAAUCGCGUAACAGCAUGACG